rnacentral:rRNA from 3 species
CCCAGACAGCCAGGAUGUUGGCUUAGAAGCAGCCAUCAUUUAAAGAAAGCGUAAUAGCUCACUGGUCGAGUCGGCCUGCGCGGAAGAUGUAACGGGGCUAAACCAUGCACCGAAGCUGCGGCAGCGACGCUUAUGCGUUGUUGGGUAGGGGAGCGUUCUGUAAGCCUGCGAAGGUGGCCUGUGAGGGUUGCUGGAGGUAUCAGAAGUGCGAAUGCUGACAUAAGUAACGAUAAAGCGGGUGAAAAGCCCGCUCGCCGGAAGACCAAGGGUUCCUGUCCAACGUUAAUCGGGGCAGG